UACGAACUGUGCAAACGUUAUUCGGAUUCACUGGGCCUAAAGGGUGCGUAGGCGGCCAUGUAAGUAGGGUGUGAAAUCCCCCGGCUUAACCGGGGAACUGCGCCCUAAACUGUAUGGCUGGAGUGAGAUAGGGGUGUGUGGAACUUCCGGUGGAGCGGUGAAAUGUGUUGAUAUCGGAAGGAACGCCGGUGGCGAAAGCGACACACUGGGUCUCAACUGACGCUGAGGCACGAAAGCCAGGGGAGCGAACGGG
rnacentral:rRNA from 1 species